GAGAGUGAGAGCGGUUGACGGGAGCUUGCUCCCUGAUUCAGCGGCGGACGGGUGAGUAAUGCCUAGGAAUCUGCCUAUUAGUGGGGGACAACGUUUCGAAAGGAACGCUAAUACCGCAUACGUCCUACGGGAGAAAGCAGGGGACCUUCGGGCCUUGCGCUAAUAGAUGAGCCUAGGUCGGAUUAGCUAGUUGGUGGGGUAAUGGCUCACCAAGGCGACGAUCCGUAACUGGUCUGAGAGGAUGAUCAGUCACACUGGAACUGAGACACGGUCCAGACUCCUACGGGAGGCAGCAGUGGGGAAUAUUGGACAAUGGGCGAAAGCCUGAUCCAGCCAUGCCGCGUGUGUGAAGAAGGUCUUCGGAUUGUAAAGCACUUUAAGUUGGGAGGAAGGGCAGUAAAUUAAUACUUUGCUGUUUUGACGUUACCGACAGAAUAAGCACCGGCUAACUCUGUGCCAGCAGCCGCGGUAAUACAGAGGGUGCAAGCGUUAAUCGGAAUUACUGGGCGUAAAGCGCGCGUAGGUGGUUUGUUAAGUUGCAUGUGAAAGC
rnacentral:rRNA from 1 species